CCUACGGGAGGCUGCAGUGGGGAAUUUUGGACAAUGGGGGAAACCCUGAUCCAGCAAUGCCGCGUGUGUGAAGAAGGCCUGCGGGUUGUAAAGCACUUUCGGUUGGGAAGAAAAGUUUGGCGCCAAUACCGCCGAACCUUGACGUUACUGACAGAAGAAGCACCGGCUAACUCUGUGCCAGCAGCCGCGGUAAUACAGAGGGUGCAAGCGGGCAUCGGAAUCACUGGGCGGGUCGCGUGAGUCGGGGGUCAAAUCCCCGGGCUUAACCUGGGAACUGCAUGCGAUACUACAUGGCUAGAGUAUGGUAGAGGGAAGUGGAAUUUCCGGUGUAGCGGUGAAAUGCGUAGAUAUCGGAAGGAACACCAAUGGCGAAGGCAGCUUCCUGGACUAAUACUGACACUGAGGCACGAAAGCGUGGGUAGCAAACAGGAUUAGAUACCCUAGUAGUC
rnacentral:rRNA from 1 species